rnacentral:lncRNA from 1 species
AAGUGAGCAUAUCCAUGCCCCUCCUGAAUCGGUAUGGACCGUGGUGGUCAAGAAUAUGGGUUAUUAACAAGAUGCAGCUUUCGUUUGUUUCCAAGGUAACAAAGGGCAAUGAUAGCUGUUAAAUUCUUCUUGGCAGUGGAGAAUCAUCGGCACCGGGCCAAGUGCCUUUGGGGAAUUUCCCUAUCGUAGCCUGCCGCAUAACACAAAAGAGAGGCCAUAGCACAAGAGGCAGCGUGGUGGCUGGCUAAAUAGUUUCCUCAGCGUGCUUUUCUCAUCUUGUCCCUUUCACCACCCUGGAGUUAAACAUGUCCAUGUCUCAGCCCCCUCCCUCAAAUCCUCAUCACCAUCAUCUAAAUUAAAAUCUUUUAUCAGUUUUUGGGUAAUCCCCUUUGAUGGCCCGACUAUGACAGGAUCGUUCUUGCCCACACCUUUCAUGCCACUGCUGAUAAGUUCUGAACAGCUAAAUGGCUUUGGACAUCACACACAUGUCUGCAUCCCUUGCACCAGCCAGGAGCUGGCAGAAAGGACAUAUUCAUGGCUGAAGGUUGUAGAAAUUUGUAAGACGAAUGCCUUUGAGAAUGGCCCUGGAGGCAGAAAUCGCCAGCCGCCUUUUUUGUUGCCUCCGCAGAGCAGAACAGUGGUGUGCUGCUAUGAUUCUUCAAGACUGUGCUCUGUGUUCGCAGUGUGUCUGUUUUUCCACUGCAAACUGGGCUUCCGGAGGUUAUGUUGGUCACUUCACAGCCAAAUUAUGACUAUACAAUUUCACAUGAGCGAGUAGUAACAUUUCCAGGGCUAAUUAGUUCCUAUCAUGGCCUGACCCAUAAUUGCAACUUCAUCUUUUCCCCCAUUUCCUCUUCAGUCCCUCAUGACUUUUCUCUCCUGGAGGAGGAGACUCGGCAGUGUGUAUGGUGAAAGUGAGUGGGUUGAUUGUAGCAGACUCACUUCAAAUUCUGCCUGCAAUGAUUGCUUGCUGUAAAAUGCUCAAUGGGGUAUCCGAGAUCUCCCCAACCCAGUCUCUGUCUAUAAGUGAGGAUUCUGAUUCUCUUCUAACACUUAUUAAAAGAGAAAUAUAUAGGUGGUAGCUGUCCUUAAUUUUUAGGGUCAUCUUCAAUGUUCAACUAUAGACUAUAUAGCAGAUUCCAUAAGACAGGAAAGGACUGUAUUUUUGUUAUCAGCAUGUAGAACACAUCUUUUGUCCAAUGAGCAUUUCUGAAUGAUUAAUGAGAUGACUGGAUGGGACAAGUUCAGUGGUCACAGAGACACUGGACAGGUUUUCAAGCAGUAAUUACAUCUUUCACUAGUUUCAACGUUGCUCAGACUCUUUAUUGGCAUUUUAGAAAAGCUCCUUCAUUGGGAGCCAUAAAAGAACAGUGACAGUGCCAUACUCUUUUCAUGGGACAGUGACACCACUUGCCAUCAGUAAGAACAGCCCCAUGUUCCAUAGCCUAUGCCCUAUGUCUCACACCUAGACACAGCAGUGGUCCAAUGGCAGCUGUCUGACCUGGCAUGCCAGCCAACUCCAGGGACCAUCUCAGGAUGUUUGUGGUGCCUCCCCUUUGCUCCUUUCAGCUUUUCAAGUCUUGCUUGCAAUCUUGUCCCCUGCCCCCCAACUCUCACCCCUAUUCCCUAGACCUCAACCCCAUAUACACUCCCACACCCUGCACUGUUCCUUAGCCCAGCCUCCUUCUACUUCCAUCUUUCUACCUUUUUUCUUCAAUGGAUCUGGCUUGUGAAGCCAUCUUGGAUGUCAUCUGGCCCUUCUAGUUUAUCUAUCAAAUGAGAAGUAGCCCCCGAGGCUUCUUGCUUUGACCACAUCCCACAGUGAGUUCAUGGUGAAGGAUGGAUGACAUCCUGGUCCUAUUGCCUUUUUUGUAUGUGUGUUGCUGAUAGUGACUGCACAUAUGAGUAGACAUGGUGAUUCGGAACUGAUUCAUGAAACAAAACUAUGCAUGCCCCCAACUGUUGAUGCUGAAGAAAGUUGGUGGGUGCCAGAAGGUGGGCAGGAAACCUCUCAUCCCUUUCUCCCCGAAGCUUAGGAAGCUAAUCUACCCAGAGGCAUGGUUCUGUAGAACUUUCUCUGCCAGGUUCUGGAUAUGGUGGUGAGCCUGCUGGGUUCCUUUCACUGGGACCCGCUGACUCUAUCAUUCGGAGUUUGAUUUUUCUCUGCUACACUGCCAGCCUGGGCUAGAGUUGCUAGAUAGAGUGUGCUAUUUUUCCAUUAUUAUUCCUGGCUUAAUAACAGACCUCAGAGCUAUGGUUGAAGGUCUAUGUUUAAAGUUAUCUAAACUAAGAGCAGACCAGGUUGGAGAGAACACCCAGCAGGGAAGCACAUGGCCCACACUGGGUAAUGGAAGCUGUGACCUAAGCCUCCAUCUCUGAUUUCAAUUUCCCCCGUAUCUGCUUCCUUGCUGUGCAGUCUCCUGACUGUGAGUCCGUUGGAUUUCCAUUGACGGGCUUUGGCUUAAUCCCGAAAAGAUCGAAGACUGUCUACGAUGGACUUGGAAAAGCAGGCUGUGCUUUGCGUUUGAGCUGCUUUAUUUCUUGGUGUUUUCUGUAUGCAUAACAAUGCCAAGCCCUGGGUCCAGCACUCAACACAUUCAUAGUUGCUGGGUAUGUACAGGAUUAUUCUUCUUUACACACCUCUCCUUAACAGCCAAACAGGCUUCUGUCUUUCUCCCUUCCCCCAGUCCCUAGUUCACUUAAUAUAAAUGCUAAUUAGAAUGGGGGUCCAAUGUUCUUAUUCUCUCUGGAGUUGGAGGAGCCACUGAAGACAACCUUCCCAGCUGCUGAGGCUGGCUGAUCUCAGGGUACCUAUCUUCCUUGUGUUCCCACCUACGCAUGUGGAGAGAGAGGUAGGAUGUGCUGCCCUUGGCAGCAGCAGAAGGACAUUUCUUUGUUACGGUCCUUUGUGCAAUUUUGGCAUUAUCCUCUUAACAGCAUCUUUUGGAGAAAC